UACAGGGGGUGCUAGCGUUGUUCGGAAUUACUGGGCGUAAAGGGCGCGUAGGCGGUUUGAUAAGUCAGAAGUGAAAGCCCGGAGCUUAACUCCGGAAUUGCUUUUGAAACUAUCAGGCUAGAGUACAGUAGAGGUAGGCGGAAUUCCUAGUGUAGAGGUGAAAUUCGUAGAUAUUAGGAAGAACACCAGUGGCGAAGGCGGCCUACUGGGCUGUAACUGACGCUAAGGCGCGAAAGCAUGGGUAGCAAACAGG
rnacentral:rRNA from 1 species